AUUGAACGCUGGCGGCAUGCCUUACACAUGCCAGUCGAACGGUAACAGGUUAAGCUGACGAGUGGCGAGCGGGUGAGUAAUGUAUCGGAACGUGCCCAGUCGUGGGGGAUAACUGCUCGAAAGAGCAGCUAAUACCGCAUACGACCUGAGGGUGAAAGCGGGGGAUCGCAAGACCUCGCGCGAUUGGAGCGGCCGAUAUCAGAUUAGGUAGUUGGUGAGGUAAAGGCUCACCAAGCCGACGAUCUGUAGCUGGUCUGAGAGGACGACCAGCCACACUGGGACUGAGACACGGCCCAGACUCCUACGGGAGGCAGCAGUGGGGAAUUUUGGACAAUGGGCGCAAGCCUGAUCCAGCCAUGCCGCGUGCGGGAAGAAGGCCUUCGGGUUGUAAACCGCUUUUGUCAGGGAAGAAAAGGUUCUGGCUAAUACCUGGGACUCAUGACGGUACCUGAAGAAUAAGCACCGGCUAACUACGUG
rnacentral:rRNA from 1 species